rnacentral:lncRNA from 1 species
AUACUGGUUAAGUCUUCUGGCUACAUCUUUCUCCCGUGCUGAAUGCUUUCUGCUGUCAAACAUCAGAGUUCUUCAUCUUUGGGACUCGGGCUGGCUUCCUUGCUCCUCAGCUUGCAGAUGGCCUAUUGUGGGACCUCACCUUGUGAUCAUGUGUUCAUGAAAGCCAGUUGCUACAUGAAGAAGCCUGGGCUAACCUGCUGGAAGAAGAUGAAAGACCACAACAAUCAUGAUCCACUCCAGUCAUCCCAGCUGAACUCCUAUACAUGUAAAAGACUCCCCUGAUGGCUAGCCAAUCCUCCUACAGAAGCAGAUAGGCAACUGAUCGCAGACACAUGAGUAAAUCCAGCCCCCGAUAAGAACAGCUCAACCAACCUGCACAUUCAUGAACAAAGUAAAUGCUUUCUGUUUAAGUCACCA